rnacentral:rRNA from 1 species
AUUGAACGCUGGCGGCCGGCUUAACACAUGCAAGUCGAGCGAGCGGCGGACGGGUGAGUAAUGUCUGGGAAACUGCCUGAUGGAGGGGGAUAACUACUGGAAACGGUAGCUAAUACCGCAUACCAUCAGAUGUGCCCCGAUGGGAUUAGCUAGUAGGUGGGGUAAUGGCUCACCUAGGCGACGAUCCCUAGCUGGGCUGAGAGGCUGACCAGCCACAGUGGACGUGAGCCACGGUCCAGACUCCUACGGGAGGCAGCAGUGGGGAAUAUUGCACAAUGGGCGCAAGCCGGAUGCAGCCAUGCCGCGUGUGUGAAGAAGGCCUGCGGGUUGUAAAGCACUUUCAGCGAGGAGGCGUUACUCGAAGAAGAAGCACCGGCUAACUCCGUGCCAGCAGCCGCGGUAAUUC